UUUGAUGGCGACCGGCGCACGGGUGAGUAACACGUAUCCAACCUGCCGAUGACUCGGGGAUAGCCUUUCGAAAGAAAGAUUAAUACCCGAUGGCAUAGUUCUUCCGCAUGGUAGAACUAUUAAAGAAUUUCGGUCAUCGAUGGGGAUGCGUUCCAUUAGGCAGUUGGCGGGGUAACGGCCCACCAAACCGACGAUGGAUAGGGGUUCUGAGAGGAAGGUCCCCCACAUUGGUACUGAGACACGGACCAA
rnacentral:rRNA from 1 species